rnacentral:lncRNA from 1 species
CAUAGUUUUGUUCCAAGUCUCUUGCCCGAUGAUCACUGGUAGAGUUAUCUCCACUUCCAUAUCAAUGGAGUCUCCGAUCAAAAGAGUACUAACUUUCUUUAGUCGAUCAGUAGACAGUUUCAUCUUCUGAAAGGCAUUAUAAAACAGCAUGUGAGCCAAGCUUCCAUUAUCAAUUAAAUUUGUUUAUAUUAUAAUUUGUUAUUAUCAUUGAUAUGACAAUUGUAUCAUUAUGAGGGGUCUAGUUCCCUUGGAGGUCAUCUU